rnacentral:tRNA from 1 species
GGGGGCAUGACUCAGUGGAAGAGCAUCUAAUUGGCAUUCAGAAAGUCCCCAGUUCAAUUGCUGGCAUCUCCA